GAGCAGAAAAGACCUGUGUAACAAGGUAAUUGAACUUUUUAUAUCCUUUUCCAUCUUUAUAAAGAUAUCCAAAGCCUUGAAAAUGCCAGUCAGUACUGUUCAAUCACUUAUUAAUAAGUGGAAAAUUCAGGGAUCUCUUGAUAACAAGCCAAGGUCAGGUAGACCAAGAAAGAGUUCAGCCACAGCUACCAGAAGAAUUGUUCAGCAGGCAUCCUGUGGCCCAGGAUCGUCCCUACUCACCGGUUGCAGCUUGCUCUCUCGGAUGCCUGUCCCUUCCUCUGGCGACCCGUAGUCUGCAGGGGAAACGGAAACGUAAGUCAUAAAGCCGACCAUCGCAACAGUCGCUGGCGCACAGCGUCAUCUCGGGUCGGCUUUGUUUUACUUACCUCUGUUCGUACACUCUCUGGGUUGUCAAAUGCCGCAGUUAAUCUUAAUGUAUUUGUUGUGCCCAUACGAAUGAGAAUUUAAGGCAGGGCUUUCGGCUACUUACCCGUAUUAAGCUUGUUUAUACGAUCAUAUUG